GAGGCUGAGCAUUCUCGCCCGGUCAACUAGGGAAGAUGGCCCAGGCCGAGGAAAUCGCUCCCACGCCCUGCUGCUGUCCCCUCCCCUGAGCUGGGGGAAGGGACCCAUCUAGAAGGGAGACCCCCUCUCUCUUUCCUUCCCGGCCCACGCACGCCCUGGGAAUGUCUCCGUGGUCUCACCAGAACAGCUCUCUGGCCUCGUGGCCUGCUGCCCCCACCCCGACGCCCAAUACUGCCAACGCGAGUGGGCUGCCAGGGGUGCCGUGGGCGGUGGCCUUGGCGGGGGCGCUGUUGGCGCUGGAGGUGCUAGUCACCGUGGGAGGCAACUUGCUGGUAAUCGUGGCCAUCGCCCGGACGCCGAGACUCCAGACCAUGACCAACGUGUUCGUGACUUCGCUGGCCACAGCAGACCUGGUGGUGGGACUGCUAGUAGUGCCGCCGGGGGCCACCUUGGCCCUGACCGGCCACUGGCCCCUGGGAGCCACUGGUUGCGAGCUGUGGACCUCAGUGGACGUGCUGUGUGUGACAGCCAGCAUCGAAACCCUGUGCGCCCUAGCCGUGGACCGUUACCUGGCAGUGACCAACCCGCUGCGCUACGGUGCUCUGGUCACCAAACGGCGCGCCCGGGCAGCAGUGGUGCUGGUGUGGGUCGUGUCCGCCUCGGUGUCGUUUGCCCCCAUCAUGAGCAAAUGGUGGCGCGUGGGAGCCGACGCCGAGGCACAGCGUUGCCACUCCAAUCCCCACUGCUGCGCUUUCGCCUCCAACAUACCCUACGCGCUGCUCUCCUCCUCCGUCUCCUUCUACCUCCCGCUUCUGGUGAUGCUCUUCGUCUACGCGCGCGUUUUCCUCGUGGCUACGCGCCAACUGCGCCUGCUGCGCCGGGAGCUGGGCCGCUUCCCGCCCGAGGAGUCUCCGCCGACUGCGUCGCGCUUUGUGCCCCCCGCCCCAGCUGGGCCGUACGCUUCGCCCGCAGGGGUGCCCUCUUACGGUCGGCGGCCCGCGCGCCUUCUGCCUCCCCGGGAACACCGGGCCCUGCGCACCUUGGGUCUCAUCAUGGGUACCUUCACUCUCUGCUGGUUGCCCUUCUUUGUGGCCAACGUGAUGCGCGCUCUCGGGGGCCCCUCUCUGGUUCCCAGCCCGGCUUUCCUGGCCCUUAACUGGCUAGGCUAUGCCAACUCCGCCUUCAACCCGCUCAUCUACUGCCGCAGCCCCGACUUUCGCAGCGCCUUCCGCCGUCUCCUGUGCCGCUGUCGGCGUGAGGAGCACCAGGCUGCCGCCUCCCUGCCUGGCGACCCCUCGGGCGCCCCUGCUGCACUGGCCAGCCCCGCGGAGUCCAGGCAGUGCCCACCGCUCAACGGGACGGGACACACGUCAUUGGAUUUGGAGCCUAUCCUAAUCCAGGAUAACAUCAUCUCAAGACCCUUAAUUGUAUCUGCAAAGAACAUUAAUCCAAAUAAGACCACAUUCUGAGAUUUCAGGUUAACAUAUAUUUGGGGACUACCAUUUGACCCAAUAUAGUGAGAGACACUUGUAAAUCCUUUAACUGAGAGUUCUGGUCUUGAAGAUUAACAUCCACUCUAGUCACCCCUCAGAAAGGGCUGUUCUCUCCAGAAUCUCUUAGACUUUGUGGGAGGCAGAAUUCUGAGAACUCCCAAGGACCCCUGUCCUUGUCUAAUUCCCUCUGCUUAAAUGUGGGUGGGACCUAUAAUUUGCUUCUAAGAAAUAAUAAUAUGGCAAAGGUGAUGGGAUAUCACUCCUGUGAUUAGGUUGUAUUACAUGGAAGAGGUGAAAGGACUUUAAAGAUGUAAUUAAGGUCUUUAAUCAAUUGAUUUAGGUUAAUUAAAAAGCAGAUUAUCCUGGGUGGGCCUGACCUAAUCAGGCAAGCCCUUUAAAAGAAGGUCAGAGGUCAGAGAUGGAAGACAUCAGAAAGAUACUCUGGCUGUCCUCGAGGAAGCUAGCCAUCUGAUUUCCACAAGUGCAAGGAAGUGGAUCCUGCCAACAAUCCCGUGAAUUGGAAGAGGACACUGAGCAUCAGAGGAGACUGUGGCCCUGGCUGACAUCUUCACUAUAGCCUGGUGAGACCCUGAACAGAAGAUCCAGCUCCCCCAUACACAGACUCUUGAGACAUGGAAACUGUGAGGAGGACCAAGAAUGCACCAUUGUCACGUUGGACCUCGAUGAGAGCUGCUUUGAUGGCGUGGAGGUGAUGGAGUGGGCGCAAGAGAACUUGGGAAAUGAAGAAGUGGAGAUAGAAAAUAUAAAACAGUCUCUCCAUAGCUGCUGUUCUGAAGAGGAUCAGAGAAAUGUGGUGGGUGGAUGAUCUCCUUGUCAUCUUAAUUAAUCUGGGUACCUAUUUCCCAGAAUUCUUGUUAGAUUCUGGGUUAGAGUUGACCAAAAGAGGAGAAACCUGCCAAAGAUGUGAGAGGCAGAAGAGAAAUGGCCCCCACUUAAUACCGCAGGGACUACAGAGUGAGAACAGAAAGCACACGUGUUAGGGGAGGCUGCUUGUCUUCAGACUCUCCUCCGUGCCAGGCCCAGAGCAGGUGCUCUGCUUCCAGAGUGCGGGCUCUGCCGACUGUGGGAUGCCACACCACUGGGGACUUGGCUGCACACCCGCAGAUGUGGAGCUGUGCAGAAGCCCUAUUUUCCCAUAGACCCCUCCACGCAUCACCCCUUCUGAG